UAUUGAAUUCAUAUUUUUAGGGUAAGCUAAUCAAAAGACAAAAAAGAAGGCUUCAAAAAUAUAAAAUGUCCGGACACCUGACCCUACAUCCUACGAAACAGAUUACCACAUCUACAGUUAGGCCUAUAAUCUGGAUCUGGAUGUGUACGAUGCAGGGCCCUCCUGGGCAUGAACGCAUCGGAUGAGCCUGAGAUCGGGGCUACUGGAAGAAGUCACUACGCAACAGAUUCAGGAAUUGCAGGAAAUGUCAUGAACGUGAUAAUCCAUUAGGACAAAUGGAAGCAAAGAAAGGGGACUACACCCAAACCAGACAAAGCUGCAGGCAAACACAUGUAUGGCAUAAAGAAAGUACCUUCCUGCAUCCCCAGAAAGUGAGGAUGAAGAAACGAUCAAUGCUCACAUCAAGAUGCUUCAGAAUGAAUCCAGAAAAACAAGACAGGACAGCUUGAUGAUAGACAAUCUACUAACUUAUGCCCAUAGGCGCAAGGGUAUCAUCAACAGCAACUGGACUGAAUCCUACUUGAAGGAUAUGUACCCUUACCUUUUCCAUGAAGAUGAGAGUUUGAGAGACUGUCAGAGGACCCAACUAAGCAGAAGUUGGAAGCAGGACAUUUGAAUAUGCUGAUCCAUUACUAGAGAUAUGCAAGACUCCCAAGCAAGGUUUGGAGCUCAAACACCUGAUCUUGGCUGCAGCAGCAGAAAAUGAAGACACCAGGAAAAUGAUCAAAUCAUGUGGAGCACUUCUGUUGAUUCCUACUAUUUUUGGAGAGAAGGCAUUGCUUUGUCAGCAUAGCCAGGAUAAAAAACGGACCAAUCGCCAAAAUCAUCUACAAAAGUAAGCCCGACAGUGCAGGUCUGACUCUGAGCAGUGAUCAUGAAAAAUUCACGGAAAUUCUGCAAUCAUCCUAUAUUACAGCAGAGAAUGAAGUCAUUUAUGAGAAAACCACCUACCUCAUGUCAGCAGUCUCUCUGCUUAUGUCGGCCCAUUAUGUAUUCAACUGAUCAUACACCCCCAAGAUGGGUAACACCCUCACAUUCAUUCAGAAGAUUCUGAUGAACAUAGAUUCCACAUCUCAACCCUCAUCCAAGGUCGUAAGAAGCCUGUAUGACUUAAAUGCUGUCCGAAAUGCUGAUGCCAGUAGUUCUUCAGUUUAAUAGAAAUUAAUUACUUGGGUGAUGCUACUGCAACACAGCUGAUCACACUUUCUCUACGUGCAAUCACCUUAGGUGUUGUAUCUGUCUUUUAUGUGCAAAAUAGAUUGAAAUAGAUACGACAGGUUGACCGUGAAUUUAGACAUCAAGUAUGUGCAUUAUUUCGCUUUGCUUCAGUACAAUUUCAGUGGCCCUUGAAUUGGAAAUCUUUUCAUAUCCCAAGAAUUACAUAUAAAUGCUUAAUGAAAUUUUUGUCACAGAUAAAAUAGGAUUUUGCACACACAAAAAAGAAAAGAUAUUUGGACCCAAAAUUUUUACAGAUCAGAUGGUCAACAAUUUUUUUUUUUUGGGGGGGGGGGGAAUUGAAGACUAAGCUAUUCAUAUUCUACUUUUUGAUUUUUGUACACAUUUUGUUACUGUACAUGUAAAUAAGUUUAACACCACAAAUUUGAAGAAUUACAACAUUUUAAAGGUUCUCUAUGGAAUUUUAGUUAGUUUGUAAGUUUCAAGCAACUUAGUAUUUAAUUCCAAGAAUUAUACAAAGGCACUUUUCAAGAUUAUGGCUUCCAACAUCAGUACAUGAUGGAAACAAUUCUCAAUGUUUACAUUUAUUGAGAUGGUAAGCACAUGCAACUGAUUUGAAACUAAUUUUAUAAAUUUGACAAAGCACUGCCAUUAAUUUUAAGCCAAUCUGCACACUUCCAAGCAUGUCAAAGGUAUUGCUUAAUAGCCCAAUCACCACAAUUAUCAUUGCCUUUAAAAAAAAUUGCACAAAUAUAUUUAAAUAGAAAAGGUCAGUAUCUGCUUGAAGAUACAGCUGCUAUAGGAGGCAGAUUUUGCGGAAAAUACCAGGGCUUCACAGUGAGAGAAUGGGGGAUUCUGCGAAGUGCUUUAAGAAUUAAUUGAGAAUCCAAAUUGCACAUUUUGAAAUUGUCUUUUGUACUAUUAGUAGUAAAAUAUUUUUGUGGGUUUUCCUACAGCAAAAAUUGACAUUUGGGGAAUUCCCGUGUCAUGCAUGGGGAUUCUUAAAUUUAAAUUGUGUUUGUACGUAUGCUUAAGUUUGAAAAAUUGACGUUUUGUGACAGCUUUAUCUUUGUUUAGUCGGUUAAACCAUGUUGCCAAUCAGUUAUAAAAUCUAUCACUCUCUCUUGAUAGUUUUAUUUUUUAUUUGAUGAGAGGUAGCAGUGCACUUAUUUACAUGUUUGGUGACUGGAUUCUAUGCUUGAGAAUAGAUUUUAUUAUAGAAAGAAAUGCACAGCAACCAUAAUUAUUUUUCAAGUAAACUCUUAAACAUUUAUCCCAUGAAACACAUUUCUGUCUGUUGUGGUUACAUCACGGAUGCAUAAUGGUCACUUUUGUUUUGGUAAUAUUGAUGGUGACUCCGGAGAUUUAUUGUUGAGAGGAAAUAAAUCAGAUGGCAUGUACAAUGCA
rnacentral:lncRNA from 1 species